GACGAACGCUGGCGGCGUGCUUAACACAUGCAAGUCGAACGGGCCCGCUCUCUUUUUUGGGGGUGGGUUGAGUGGCGAACGGGUGAGUAUCACGUGAGUAACCUGCCCCCUGCUCCUGGAUAACUGCUUGAAAGGGCGGCUAAUACGGGGUGUGCCGGCUGGUCCGCAUGGGCCUGGUCGGGAUAGUUUCAUCUUCGGGUGUUUCGGUGGGGGAUGGGCUCGCGGCCUAUCAGCUUGGUGGUGGGGUGAUGGCCCACCAAGGCGGUGACGGGUAGCCGGCCUGAGAGGGUGGGCGGCCACACUGGGACUGAGACACGGCCCAGACGCCUGCGGGAGGCAGCAGUGGGGGGUAUUGCACAAUGGGCGGAAGCCUGAUGCAGCGACGUCGCGUGAGGGAUGGAGGCCUUCGGGUUGUGAACCUCUUUCUCCGGUGGUGAAGGCCCUGUCCGUUGCGGCGGGGUUGACGGUAGCCGGGUAUGAAGCGCCGGCUAACUACGUG
rnacentral:rRNA from 1 species